rnacentral:rRNA from 1 species
UACGGAGGGGGCUAGCGUUGUCCGAAGUUACUGGGCGUAAAGCGCGCGUAGGCGGGUUGGUAAGUCCGCUGUGAAAGCCCGGAGCUCAACUCCGGAGGGUCGGUGGAUACUGCCAGUCUUGAAGGUGCUAGGGGGAGAUGGAAUUACCGGUGUAGCGGUGAAAUGCGUAGAUAUCGGUAGGAACACCAGUGGCGAAGGCGGUCUCCUGGGACAUUCUUGACGCUGAGGCGCGAAAGCUGGGGGAGCGAACGGG